UACGUGAGGGUGCGAGCGUUGUCCGGAAUUAUUGGGCGUAAAGGGCUCGUAGGCGGUUUGUCGCGUCGGGAGUGAAAUCCACUGGCUUAACUGGUGGCUUGCUUUCGAUACGGGCAGACUGGAGGUAUGCAGGGGAGAACGGAAUUCCUGGUGUAGCGGUGAAAUGCGCAGAAUAUCAGGAGGAACACCGGUGGCGAAGGCGGUUCUCUGGGCAUGUCCUGACGCUGAGGAGCGAAAGUGUGGGGAGCGAACAGG
rnacentral:rRNA from 1 species